rnacentral:rRNA from 1 species
AUAGGCAUGCAAGUCGAACGAGAAUCCAUCGAUUCAAUCUUUCGGGAGAGAAACGGUGGAGGAGAGUGGCGAAAGGGUGAGUAACGCGUGAGUAACCUGCCCUUGAGUUUGGGAUAACCUACCGAAAGGUGGGCUAAUACCGGAUGUGGUUCCCCGUUUCAAUUCGGGGAAAUUAAAGGUGGGGAUCCUUCGGGACCUGCCGCUCAAGGAGGGGCUCGCGUCCUAUCAGCUUGUUGGUGAGGUAACGGCUCACCAAGGCUCACGGGUAGCUGGUCUGAGAGGAUGGUCAGCCACACUGGGACUGAGACACUGCCCAGACUCCUACGGGAGGCUGCAGUCGAGAAUCAUUCGCAAUGCGCGAAAGCGUGACGAUGCGACGCUGCGUGGAGGAUGACGGCCUUCGGGUUGUAAACUCCUGUCAUCCGGGAGCAACCUCCCUGGUGUUAAUACCAUCAGGGUUUGAUAGUACCGGAAGAGGAAGCCACGGCUAACUCUGUGCCAGCAGCCGCGGUAAUACAGAGGUGGCGAGCGUUGUUCGGAUUUACUGGGCGUAAAGGGUGAGUAGGUGGACUCGUAUGUCGGAUGUGAAAUGUCACCGUUCAACGGUGAAAGGUCGUUCGAAACUGCGAGACUAGAGUGCAGGAGAGGAAAGCGGAAUUCUUGGUGUAGCGGUGGAAUGCGUUGAUAUCAAGAAGAACACCGGUGGCGAAGCGGCUUUCUGGAAUGCUACUGACGCUGAGUCACGAAAGUUGGGGGAGUGAACAGGAUUAGAUACCCUGGUAAUCCCAACCGUAAACGUUGUCCACUUGGUGUGGGGAGAUUUGACCCUCCCCGUGCCGGAGCUAACGCGUUAAGUGGACCGCCUGGGGAGUACGGCGCAAGGUUAAAACUCAAAGAAAUUGAC